rnacentral:rRNA from 1 species
UACGUAGGUGGCAAGCGUUGUCCGGAUUUAUUGGGCGUAAAGAGCGCGCAGGCGGUUUGUCUAGUCCGAGGUGAAAUCUCCCGGCUCAACUGGGAGGGGUCUUCGGAUACUGGCAGACUUGAGGAGAGCAGAGGUGAGUGGAAUUCUCGGUGUAGUGGUGAAAUGCGUAGAUAUCGAGAGGAACACCAGCGGCGAAGGCGGCUCACUGGGCUCCACCUGACGCUGAGGCGCGAAAGCCAGGGGAGCAAACGGG